AUUGAACGCUGGCGGCAUGCUUUACACAUGCAAGUCGAACGGUAACAGGCCGCAAGGUGCUGACGAGUGGCGAACGGGGGAGUAAUGCAUCGGAACGUGCGCAGUCGUGGGGGAGAACGCAGCGAAAGCUGCGCUAAUACCGCAUACGAUCUAUGGAUGAAAGCGGGGGACCGUAAGGCCCCUCGCGAUGUGAGAGGACGAUGUCAGAUUAGGUAGUUGGUGGGGUAAAGGCUCACCAAGCCAACGAUCUGUAGCUGGUCUGAGAGGACGACCAGCCACACUGGGACUGAGACACGGCCCAGACUCCUACGGGAGGCAGCAGUGGGGAAUUUUGGACAAUGGGCGCAAGCCUGAUCCAGCAAUGCCGCGUGCAGGAAGAAGGCCUUCGGGUUGUAAACUGCUUUUGUACGGAACGAAACGGUCCUGGUUAAUACCUGGGGCUAAUGACGGUACCGUAAGAAUAAGCACCGGCUAACUACGUGCCAGCAGCCGCAGUAAAAC
rnacentral:rRNA from 1 species